AAAAAGGGCAAACCCUGGGUUUCCGUGUCCAACAUUGAUUGUCCGUCUUAUAUAAAAAAAUUUUAUAAUUCGUAUUUUCAUUGUUGUUAGAUGAUAAAACAUGAUUAAUAUUUUAUGCGUGACUUGUCUUUUUAAUUUUUUUCAUAAUUUUUUCAAAUAAAACGGACGGUCAAACGUUGGGCACGGAUACAAGGGUUUGUCUUUUU
rnacentral:pre_miRNA from 1 species